GACGAACCGUGCGAACGUUAUUCGGAAUCAUUGGGCUUAAAGGGCGCGUAGGCGGCGGUGUAAGUUGGACGUGAAAUCCCAUCGGCUCAACCGUGGAAUUGCUCCCAGUACUGCAUCGCUCGAGGGGGAUAGGGGUUUGCGGAACUACCGGUGGAGCGGUGAAAUGUGUUGAUAUCGGUGGGAACGCCAGUGGCGAAAGCGGCAAACUUGACCCUUCCUGACGCUGAGGCGCGAAAGCUAGGGGAGCAAACGGG
rnacentral:rRNA from 1 species